CUUCUCAGCGCUGCCUUUACACUGGACGACAUAAUGACUGCGAACAUAGCAAAUGAUUUGGUGAAAUUUGCAGCAGACAAAAGAAACCCAUGCCCCAGAGGCUGGUUCCAAUUUAAUUCACGCUGCUUCAUGUUUGUCAAAACUGCAAUGACAUGGCCCAAAGCAGAGCGCCACUGUCAGUUACUUGGAGAAAAACUGGAACCUGUGCGCAACACUGUAAAGUACCUUGGCGCAAACCUGGCAUCUGUGCACAGCUAUGAAGAGUUCCGAUUUCUACAGGCGGUGGUGUUGAUCAAUACUGGCAGUUUCCCUCUUACCUGGAUUGGCGGAUAUGAUGCUGUUCAGGCAAAGGUGGAAAAGGUACCCAGUUGUCAUAGUUGAGUAA